rnacentral:tRNA from 1 species
GUCUCUGUGGCGCAAUUGAUUAGCUUGUUCGGCUGUUAACCGAAAGGAUGGUGGUUCAAGCCCACCCAGGGACG